CACUAGCGCUGGCGGCAUGCCCAUCACAUGCAAGUCGAACGAGAACUUCGGGUGUAGUAGCGCUUGUGUGCGUAACGCGUGAGAAUCUGCCCUAUGGUUCGGAAUAACAGUUGGAAACGACUGCUAAUACAGGAUGAUGACCAAAGUACAAAGAUUUAGCGCCAGAGGAUGAGGCCGAGUAGGAUAAGCUAGUUGGUGUGGUAAAGGCGCACCAAGGCGACGAUCCUGAGCAGGUCUGAGAGGAUGAUCAGCCACACUGGGACUGAGACACGGCCCAGACUCCUACGGGAGGCAGCAGUGGGGAAUAUUGGACAAUGGGCGAAAGCCUGAUCCAGCAAUGCCGCGUGAAUGAUGAAGGCCUUAGGGUUGUAAAGCUCUUUUACCCGGGAUGAUAAUGAAGCUACCGGGAGAAUAAGCUCCGGCUAACUCCGUGCCAGCAGCCGCCGUAA
rnacentral:rRNA from 1 species